AACGAACGCUGGCGGCAUGCCUAACACAUGCAAGUCGAACGAAGCCUUCGGGCUUAGUGGCGCACGGGUGCGUAACACGUGGGAAUCUGCCCUUCGGUUCGGAAUAACAGUUAGAAAUGACUGCUAAUACCGGAUGAUGACGAAAGUCCAAAGAUUUAUCGCCGAAGGAUGAGCCCGCGUAGGAUUAGGUAGUUGGUAGGGUAAUGGCCUACCAAGCCGACGAUCCUUAGCUGGUCUGAGAGGAUGAUCAGCCACACUGGGACUGAGACACGGCCCAGACUCCUACGGGAGGCAGCAGUGGGGAAUAUUGGACAAUGGGCGAAAGCCUGAUCCAGCAAUGCCGCGUGAGUGAUGAAGGCCUUAGGGUUGUAAAGCUCUUUUACCAGGGAUGAUAAUGACAGUACCUGGAGAAUAAGCUCCGGCUAACUCCGUGCCAGCAGCCGCGGUAAGCUAGUCUACG
rnacentral:rRNA from 1 species